rnacentral:rRNA from 1 species
GCUCUAGAGAUAGAGUGGAGGUUUAUCCGGGAUACAGGUGGUGCAUGGUUGUCGUCAGCUCGUGUCGUGAGAUGUUGGGUUAAGUCCCGCAACGAGCGCAACCCUUGUCUUUAGUUACCAUCAUUAAGUUGGGGACUCUAGAGAGACUGCCGGUGAUAAACCGGAGAAGUGGGGAUGACGUCAAAUCAUCAUGCCCCUUAUGGCCUGGGCUACAAACGUAAUACAAUGGCGUAUACAAAGGGAUGCGAAAGGGCGACCUGGAGCAAAACUCACAAAGUACGUCUCAGUUCAGAUUGGAGUCUGCAACUCGACUCCAUGAAGGCGGAAUCGCUAGUAAUCGCGGAUCAGCAUGCCGCGGUGAAUACGUUCUCGGGGUUU